rnacentral:ribozyme from 1 species
UGCUCAGCAACUCCUAUCCCUACCUCCUCGUGGUACUGGUACGAGUAUGGGUGGUACCGGUACGAGUAACCUUGGGGAAGAUCGGGUAACCAAUCCCGGGGGGGGAACUUUGGUCGUAUGCAGACAGGGAAGG